rnacentral:rRNA from 1 species
AUCCAGAGAAUUUAGCAGAGAUGCUUUAGUGCCUUCGGGAACUCUGAGACAGGUGCUGCAUGGCUGUCGUCAGCUCGUGUUGUGAAAUGUUGGGUUAAGUCCCGNAACGAGCGCAACCCCUAUCCUUUGUUGCCAGCGAUUCGGUCGGGAACUCAAAGGAGACUGCCGGUGAUAAACCGGAGGAAGGUGGGGAUGACGUCAAGUCAUCAUGGCCCUUACGAGUAGGGCUACACACGUGCUACAAUGGCGCAUACAAAGAGAAGCGACCUCGCGAGAGCAAGCGGACCUCAUAAAGUGCGUCGUAGUCCGGAUUGGAGUCUGCAACUCGACUCCAUGAAGUCGGAAUCGCUAGUAAUCGUAGAUCAGAAUGCUACGGUGAAUACGUUCCCGGGCCUUGUACACACCGCCCGUCACACCAUGGGAGUGGGUUGCAAAAGAAGUAGAUAGCUUAACCUUCGGGAGGGCGUUUACCACUUUGUGAUUCAUGACUGGGGUGAAGUCGUAACAAGGUAGGCGUACGUGU